GCGCUGCUGAGGAGUUCCACAAUAGGAUGAAACGGCCGUCUAGUGC
rnacentral:hammerhead_ribozyme from 1 species